AGAGAGAGGGACAACAAACAGAUCCAGAUAGAGAGGGACAACAAACAGAUCCAGAGAGGGAGGGACAACAAACAGAUCCAGAGAGAGAGAGAGAGGGACAACAAACAGAUCCAGAGAGAGAGGCAGGGACAACAAACAGAUCCAGAGAGAGAGAGGGACAACAAACAGAUCCAGAGAGGGAGGGACAACAAACAGAUCCAGAGAGAGAGAGAGGGACAACAAAUAGAUCCAGAGAGAGAGAGAGAGAGAGAGAGACAACAAACAGAUCCAGAGAGAGAGAGACAACAAACAGAUCCAGAGAGAGAGGGACAACAAACAGAUCCAGAGAGAGAGAGACAACAAACAGAUCCAGAGAGAGAGAGACAACAAACAGAUCCAGAGAGAGGGACAACAAACAGAUCCAGAGAGAGAGAGAGACAACAAACAGAUCCAGAGAGAGAGAGACAACAAACAGAUCCAGAGAGGGAGGGACAACAAACAGAUCCAGAGAGAGAGAGAGGGACAACAAACAGAUCCAGAGAGAGAGACAACAAACAGAUCCAGAGAGAGAGACAACAAACAGAUCCAGAGAGAGAGAGACAACAAACAGAUCCAGAGAGAGAGAGAGAGAGAGACAACA
ensembl:lncRNA